rnacentral:rRNA from 1 species
AUUGAACGCUGGCGGCAUGCCUUACACAUGCAAGUCGAACGGUAACAGGUCUUUCGGGAUGCUGACGAGCGGCGAACGGGUGAGUAAUACAUCGGAACGUGCCCAGACGUGGGGGAUAACGAGGCGAAAGCUUUGCUAAUACCGCAUACGAUCUAAGGAUGAAAGCAGGGGGCCGCAAGGCCUUGCGCGUUUGGAGCGGCCGAUGGCAGAUUAGGUAGUUGGUGGGAUAAAAGCUUACCAAGCCGACGAUCUGUAGCUGGUCUGAGAGGACGACCAGCCACACUGGGACUGAGACACGGCCCAGACUCCUACGGGAGGCAGCAGUGGGGAAUUUUGGACAAUGGGCGAAAGCCUGAUCCAGCAAUGCCGCGUGCAGGAUGAAGGCCUUCGGGUUGUAAACUGCUCUUGUACGGAACGAAAAGGCUCUGGCUAAUACCUGGGGCACAUGACGGUACCGUAAGAAUAAGCACCGGCUAACUACGUGCCAGCCGCCGCGGUAAGAC